rnacentral:lncRNA from 1 species
UUGAGGAAUCACCACACUGUCUUCCACAAUGGUUGUACUAAUUUACAUUUGCUGGUGCUGUUUUCUACAUUGAAUCUGAGGGCUACUGUAUGAUGUGUAAGACACUUUCUGAUUGGAGCCUCACAAUGAUCCUACCAGAGCAUGCAGUCCAUUUGGAAACAUGCAUGUGGGAAAGUGGGGAGGGACCCUGUCAAGCAUCUAAGAGGAGUGGUGGCAUUUGCUGUGUCCACCUCCAUCCUUCCCACUCACUACUCAGCACCUAUAGCCUUGUCGCUCUCCCCAACACUCUGCUGAGACUGUUGUCACCAAAAACACUAUUGUCCGGCUCCCUGUUGAAAGGACCGACUCUCAGGAGAUGAAGAUCCAAUCACUCUAUCAAAGAAUAUGAGCAUUUCCGAGGCUCUUGUAAGACAUCCAGCCUCCAGAACUGUGAGUACUAUGCUGAAGAGAGCCCUCAUCAGCACCUGACCAACCUGACCAUGCUGCACCCUCAUCUUAGACGUUCAGCCUCCAGAACUGUGAAUACUAUGCUGAAGAGAGCCCUCACCAGCACCUGACCAUGCUGCACCCUCAUCUCAGAUGUCCAGCCUCCAGAA